GACGACGCUGGCGGCGUGCCUAAGACAUGCAAGUAGGACGAGUGGCGAACGGGUGAGUAAGGCGUGGUAACCUGCCGAUUAGAGGGGGAUAACAAUGGGAGACGAUAGCUAAUACCGCAUACGAGUAGAAGGAGCUGCGUUGUAUUAGCUAGUAGGUAGGGUAAUGGCCUACCUAGGCGACGAUACAUAGCCGGACUGAGAUGAGGAUCGGCCACAAUGGGACUGAGCCACGGGCCAGACUCCUACGGGAGGCAGCAGUGGGGAAUAUUGCACAAUGGGCGCAAGCCUGAUGCAGCCAUGCCGCGUGUAUGAAGAAGGCCUUCGGGUUGUAAAGUACUUUCAGCGGGGAGGCGUUACCCGCAGAAGAAGCACCGGCUAACUCCGUGCCAGCAGCCGCGGUAAUAC
rnacentral:rRNA from 1 species